AGUGAACGCUGGCGGUAGGCCUAACACAUGCAAGUCGAACGGCAGCACAGUAAGAGCGUGCUCUUACGGGUGGCGAGUGGCGGACGGGUGAGGAAUACAUCGGAAUCUACUUUUUCGUGGGGGAUAACGUAGGGAAACUGACGCUAAUACCGCAUACGACCUACGGGUGAAAGCAGGGGAUCUUCGGACCUUGCGCGAUUGAAUGAGCCGAUGUCGGAUUAGCUAGUUGGCGGGGGAAAGGCCCACCAAGGCGACGAUCCGUAGAUGGUCUUAGAGGAUGGGCGGCCGCUUUGGGAGUGAGACGCGGCCCAAACUCCUACGGGAUGCAGCAGUAGGGAAUCUUCGGCAAUGGACGAAAGUCUGACCGAGCACCGCCGCGUGGGUGAAGAAGGUUUUCGGAUCGUAAAACCCUGUUGGUAGGGAAGAACGUUGGUGAGGGUGGAAAGCUCCUCAAGUGACGGUACCUACCCAGAAAGGGACGGCUAACUACGUG
rnacentral:rRNA from 1 species